rnacentral:rRNA from 1 species
UACGAAGGUCCCAAACGUUAUUCGGAAUUACUGGGCUUAAAGGGUGCGUAGGCGGCGUGGAAAGUUGGGUGUGAAAUCCCUCAGCUUAACUGAGGAACAGCGCCCAAAACUACCAUGCUCGAGGGAGAUAGAGGAAUGCGGAACUUAGGGUGGAGCGGUGAAAUGCGUUGAUAUCCUAGGGAACACCGGUGGCGAAAGCGGCAUUCUGGAUCUCUUCUGACGCUGAGGCACGAAAGCUAGGGUAGCAAACGGG